rnacentral:rRNA from 1 species
CCAAUAGCGUAUAUUAAAGUUGUUGCAGUUAAAAAGCUCGUAGUUGGAUUUCUGGUGGGAGCGAUCGGUCUGGCGCUUAGCGCGAGUACUUGCAUCGUCUCCGGCCAUCCUUGGGGAAAGUCUGUCUGGCAUUAAGUUGUCGGGCAGAGGAUCCUCAUCGUUUACUGUGAAAAAAUUAGAGUGUUCAAAGCAGGCUUAUGCCGUUGAAUAUAUUAGCAUGGAAUAAUAAGAUAGGACUUUGGUACUAUUUUGUUGGUUUGCGCACCAAAGUAAUGAUUAAUAGGGACAGUUGGGGGUAUUCGUAUUCCGUUGUCAGAGGUGAAAUUCUUGGAUUUACGGAAGACGAACUACUGCGAAAGCAUUUACCAAGGAUGUUUUCAUUAA